GAUGAACGCUGGCGGUAUGCUUAACACAUGCAAGUCGAACGGACUCUUCGGAGUUAGUGGCGGUCGGGUGAGUAACGCGUGAGAAUCUGGCUUUGGGUUCGGGACAACCACUGGAAACGGUGGCUAAUACCGGAUGUGCCGAGAGGUAAAAGAGAAAUUGCCUGAAGAUGAGCUCGCGUCUGAUUAGCUCGUUGGUGAGGUAAAGGCUCACAAAGGCAGCGAUCAGUAGCUGGUCUGAGAGGAUGACCAGCCACACUGGGACUGAGACACGGCCCAGACUCCUACGGGAGGCAGCAGUGGGGAAUUUUCCGAAAUGGGCGAAAGCCUGACGGAGAAAUACCGCGUGAGGGAAGAAGGCUCUUGGGUUGUAAAGCUCUUGUCUGAGGGAAGAACAAAAUGACGGUACCUAAGGAAUCAGCAUCGGCUAACUCCGUG
rnacentral:rRNA from 1 species